CCUACGGGGGGCAGCAGUGAGGAAUAUUGGUCAAUGGACGAGAGUCUGAACCAGCCAAGUAGCGUGAAGGAUGACUGCCCUAUGGGUUGUAAACUUCUUUUAUAUGGGAAUAAAACGUUCCACGUGUGGGAUUUUGUAUGUACCAUAUGAAUAAGGAUCGGCUAACUCCGUGCCAGCAGCCGCGGUAAUACGGAGGAUACGAGCGUUAUCCGGAUUUAUUGGGUUUAAAGGGAGCGUAGGUGGAUUGUUAAGUCAGUUGUGAAAGUUUGCGGCUCAACCGUAAAAUUGCAGUUGAAACUGGCAGUCUUGAGUACAGUAGAGGUGGGCGGAAUUCGUGGUGUAGCGGUGAAAUGCUUAGAUAUCACGAAGAACUCCGAUUGCGAAGGCAGUUCACUGGACUGCAACUGACACUGAGGCUCGAAAGUGUGGGUAUCAAACAGGAUUAGAUACCCUUGUAGUC
rnacentral:rRNA from 1 species